UACAGAGGGUGCAAGCGUUGUCCGGAAUCACUGGGCGUAAAGGGCGCGUAGGCGGCCUGAUAAGUAGGGGGUGAAAUCCUGGGGCUUAACCUCAGGGCUGCCUUCUAGACUGUCCGGCUCGAGCACAGUAGAGGCAGGUGGAAUUCCCGGUGUAGCGGUGGAAUGCGUAGAGAUCGGGAAGAACACCGGUGGCGAAGGCGGCUUCCUGGACCGACACUGACGCUGAGGCGCGAAAGCUAGGGGAGCAAACGGG
rnacentral:rRNA from 1 species